CACGUAGGCGGACUGGAAAGUUGGAGGUGAAAUCCCAGGGCUCAACCUUGGAACUGCCUUCAAAACUAUCAGUCUGGAGUUCGAGAGAGGUGAGUGGAAUUCCGAGUGUAGAGGUGAAAUUCGUAGAUAUUCGGAGGAACACCAGUGGCGAAGGCGGCUCACUGGCUCGAUACUGACGCUGAGGUGCGAAAGUGUGGGGAGCAAAC
rnacentral:rRNA from 1 species